rnacentral:rRNA from 1 species
UACAGAGUCAUCUUGAACCUUGACCAAAGAUUGGACCAGAGAACAUACAAUGCACCAAUCAAUUCGGAGGUAGCUGCAGUGUGGAUUGAAGGAAAUGAAAGAAGAGAUACUUAUGACAAGAGUGUAAUACUACAUGGGAACAACAAUGAAAAAGAACACAUUCGAUCAUAUUACAAGUGCUAUGAUCCGUUGUCGUAUCCUCUAUUCUUUCCAAGAGCUGAACUGGGUUGGCAUAGGAAAAUCCCAAAGAAGAAUACACAAGAGGAAGAUAUUGGUGCUGAUAAUAUCAAUAAUGACGAUGACCCAGAUUCGGUU